GGAACUUCAGAAGACUGAUGGGUCUGUCCCUGUGCACAGAAGCCAGACAGUUUGAUGUCUGAGACAGAUCUGCUGUAAAGGAGUCCAUUAAUUGCUUGAAUGCUAUAUCAGAGGGCUUGGAGCUUGUAAGCUCUGAAUUUCCUGCCUGCUCAGAAUUUUCUUUGAGCUCCCCAUAUUUGAUGCACAGCGUGAGGAAGACCGAGAGAGCCUGUAGCACUGUGCAGAAUCCUAAACUUCUCCCACGUUUCUGCCCCACAGUGCUGCCCAGCCCCAGCAGCAAUACGUGCCCACUGCUUCUUGUUCUUCCCACCAUGGACAUCUGACGUGCUCUAGACAUGUCUCUGUGGGCGUUUGAAUAGAAGUCAGGAUUUCAGACAGGGUUUGGAAGGAAGGAUUGCAUCACAUGUCUGGCUAUCCAGGACUCUGAUACGACAGAGAUCAAGUUUCGGCUGCAUGAAGGGUUGACAUUGUUCCCUUUCUAAAAUGCUUUCAUGACAGCUGAACAGUAUGUUGGCAGCUUUUGCUGUGCUGGAAAGGUCACUGGAAAGGAGUGAGUGGGUGAUAAGGACAGAAGAGCGACUGUGAGCGUCCCACAUGUUUGACAGCAGCGGAUUUGGGUGCUCUUGAAAAGGCCAGUAUUGACUGAAGCUUCCAGGAUGUGACUCUUACAUAGGAGAGCACAGUGGUACCUGGGAAGCUGUUUCCAUCCAUAAUAAAAGAGAAAGAGUAAGCUUUACUUCCACAGGGAUUAACAAGUGGUGAAGCCAAAGAGAAAAGACUGAAUAUGUUGUAAUACAGGGUGAGAAAGAGAAGACCUGAUGAAACUGCGCUUAUUAAAGCUAUGAAAAAUAUGAAGUUAAUGAGAAGUUCAUUUUUCAAUUCAUGCAAUAACUGUACAGAAAAUCUCCCUAUGCUAUGCAAUUGCUUACUGUGGCUGCCUGACAGAGAUCUGCCACAUUUCAAUUAAACUUCAAUUUGCUGCGGAAAUUAUAUCUGUCUGUGAAACUUCCAGCACUGUACAUGAAAUAGGCCCCCCAACAAGGCAGUGCUGUGGAUCCAUGGUGGUUCCUGUUUGUGAUCAGUAAGAUAACCAUUCAGACUUGCCAGCUCAGGCAUUUUUUAAGCAUCUAAAAUUUAGUCUAAAGGUUCAUAUUGAUGGAGUUCUUCUGGUCAUUCUGCAUCUAGGUAAAAUGCUUGAUCUUAUACUUCUUGUUUCAGUUCUCAUUUGCUUCAUUUAAUGUGUGUUCUCAUGAGCUCUUCCUCAUCAUUUACAUUUGUAGCAUAUGUGCACAGGUUCUAUGUUUUUUCUUCAACAUGGCAGCAUGUCCUUAUUUAUCUAUGAAUUAUGCUGAAGGGAACAAGAAGACAGCUUUACUUGGCAAAUAUGUGGGAUCCUUUCAGAAGAAAUAUUCACAUCAAAGCAUAUAGAGAUUUGUUUCCAUUUGUUUAGACAUCAAAAGUCUCACUGGAUUUUAAAUGCUUGUAAAUUAUCUGAGCUUAAGUUAAGAGCUUGCCAGUGCUGUCUGAUUUGGGGCUAGUUUCUAAAUAUUGUCAAGAACUGCAGAUAUGCAAAAAUUUCUUGUUUAGAAGAAAUUCUU